rnacentral:rRNA from 1 species
CCUACGGGUGGCAGCAGUGAGGAAUAUUGGUCAAUGGACGAGAGUCUGAACCAGCCAAGUAGCGUGAAGGAUGACUGCCCUAUGGGUUGUAAACUUCUUUUAUAAAGGAAUAAAACGAGGCACGUGUGCCUUUUUGCAUGUACUUUAUGAAUAAGGAUCGGCUAACUCCGUGCCAGCAGCCGCGGUAAUACGGAGGAUCCGAGCGUUAUCCGGAUUUAUUGGGUUUAAAGGGAGCGUAGAUGGGUUGUUAAGUCAGUUGUGAAAGUUUGCGGCUCAACCGUAAAAUUGCAAUUGAUACUGGCAGUCGUGAGGACAGUUGAGGUAGGCGGAAUUCGUGGUGGAGCGGUGAAAUGCUUAGAUAUCACGAAGAACCCCGAUUGCGAAGGCAGCUUACUAAACUGUGACUGACAUUGAUGCUCGAAAGUGUGGGUAUCAAACAGGAUUAGAUACCCGGGUAGUC